UACAGAGGGGGGCAAGCGUUAUUCGGAAUUAUUGGGCGUAAAGGGCGCGUAGGCGGCCGUGCAAGUGGAAGGUGAAAUCCCUCGGCUCAACCGAGGAACUGCCUUUCAAACUGCAUGGCUUGAGUCCGGGAGAGGUGAGUGGAAUUCCCAGUGUAGCGGUGAAAUGCGUAGAUAUUGGGAGGAACACCAGUGGCGAAGGCGGCUCACUGGACCGGAACUGACGCUGAGGCGCGAAAGCGUGGGGAGCAAACGGG
rnacentral:rRNA from 1 species